rnacentral:misc_RNA from 1 species
UAUCCGUAGGUGAACCUGCGGAUGGAUCAUUAACGAAGGAUUCCUAUCCAAUGUCUUGUGAACUGAUUUGUAAACACGGUCAGCGUGGCUUGAAUGGACUUUUGGUGAGGGUCUGGGUAGAAUUGUACCCUUCGCUGUGUCGAGUAGAGUUUCAUGCUGACUGGUACAGCAACUAAACGUAAUAUAACAACACUGAAGUCUAUUUAAUAUUAUAACAAAAACAACUUUUAGCAACGGAUCUCUUGGCUCUCACAUCGAUGAAGAACGCAGC